rnacentral:rRNA from 1 species
UACGUAGGGGGCAAGCGUUGUCCGGAAUCAUUGGGCGUAAAGAGCGCGUAGGCGGCCCUGUAAGUCCGCUGUGAAAGUCAAGGGCUCAACCCUUGGAUGCCGGUGGAUACUGCAGGGCUAGAGUCCGGAAGAGGCGAGUGGAAUUCCUGGUGUAGCGGUGAAAUGCGCAGAUAUCAGGAGGAACACCGAUGGCGAAGGCAGCUCGCUGGGACGGUACUGACGCUGAGGCGCGACAGCGUGGGGAGCAAACAGG